rnacentral:piRNA from 1 species
UUUGAGUCACUUUCCCACUCAGAGGUGUUC